AGCGAGGCUAGAGUCACGCCUGGAUACACCCGUUGUCCUGGUGUGCUAGAGUGCUCGUAGAGGAAAUUGUCUUUGCUUAUUCAUUGGCUGUAGUCUCUUGUGGCCCAGUCAAUCACCAACUCAGACACACUA